AACUUUAGCGGUGUCCGACCCUUCUUAAUUUUUUGUUAACCUAAACUUAGCCUUCCCGCAGCGAGUCUCCUUUCCUGUCCGUGAUAUUUUCUAUCGCCGACAAGUUGCCGACGAGGGAGCGAGUGACCAAGAGGCAGCGAGCGCCAGUUGCUUGAGAGGUGGCCGAUGAGUCAGCGAACAACGCCCACUCGUGAGGCGGUCGCUACCUUACCAACGCGUGAGGCAGCCGUUGACUCACCAAGCAACGAGCGAUUGCUUCGAGUGCAGGAGGUUCGCAAGCAUCUCCAUCACCACCGAUGACUUCAUUCCCUUCAUGGGGACGGGAGAAGGUACAGAUGCUAAAGGGAGAGAUUAAUGAGAAAUUGCUGGAUAAGAUGAAGGCUAAGAUGGAAGUCUUGAGAACGAAACGAACACUGGUAGCCAGUGGAACAUUGUUGGAUGCAUAUUAGAUUGAAGUAGUGUGGAAAUACUUUGAUAGUGAAAUCUUUGAAUGUUAGUGAUUCAUGAUUUUUUAGUUAAUUUAGAUUAAUUUGUGAGCUUUGUAAAAAAAUAAUUAGAUGAAUAAAAAUUAUGUAUUCACCUUUUGAUUGUAUUUUAUAAUUUUUAUUUAUAUUUUAAGUGAUGGAUGAAUUGUGAUAA